AUUGAACGCUGGCGGCAUGCUUUACACAUGCAAGUCGAACGGCAGCGCGGGCUUCGGCCUGGCGGCGUGUGGCGAACGGGUGUGUUAUACAUCGGCACGUCCCCAGUAGUGGGGGAUCUCUCGGCGAAAGCCGGUUUUAUACCGCAUACUACCUGAGGGUGAACGCGGGGGCUCUUCGGACCUCGCUCUUUUGGCGCCUCCGAUGGCAGAUUAGCUAGUUGGUGGGGUAAAGGCCUACCAAGGCGACGAUCUGUAGCUGGUCUGAGAGGACGACCAGCCACACUGGGACUGAGACACGGCCCAGACUCCUACGGGAGGCAGCAGUGGGGAAUUUUGGACAAUGGGCGAAAGCCUGAUCCAGCAAUGCCGCGUGUGUGAUGAAGGCCUUCGGGUUGUAAAGCACUUUUGGCGGGAACGAAAAGGACUGUGCUAAUACCACGGUUCGAUGACGGUACCCUAAGAAUAAGCACCGGCUAACUACGUG
rnacentral:rRNA from 1 species